rnacentral:rRNA from 1 species
AUUGAACGCUGGCGGCAGGCCUAACACAUGCAAGUCGAACGAGUGGCGGACGGGUGAGUAAUGCAUGGGGAUCUACCCGAUGGAGGGGGAUAACUACUGGAAACUGUAGCUAAUACCGCGUACCAUAGGAUGAACCCAAGUGGGAUUAGCUAGUUGGUGGGGUAAAGGCUCACCAAGCCGACGAUCUCUAGCUGGUCUGAGAGGAUGACCAGCCACACUGGGACUGAGACACGGCCCAGACUCCUACGGGAGGCAGCAGUGGGGAAUAUUGCACAAUGGGGGCAACCCUGACGCAGCCAUGCCGCGUGUAUGAAGAAGGCCUUAGGGUUGUAAAGUACUUUCAGUCGGGAGGCGUUACCGACAGAAGAAGCACCGGCUAACUCCGUGCCAGCAGCCGCGGUAAUAC